rnacentral:lncRNA from 1 species
CACUCAUGCACCCAAUAUAUAUUACACGUCAUGGUCAUUAGCCAUCGCAUCCAUAUAAGUCUUCAUCAUCCAAUCCACGAUUCCACUCCCUUCAAUAAUGCAAAAUCUUCAACAGUUUUGUGUUUCAUAAAGUUUUACAUUCUGUCCUUGUCCAAUGAAGACACUUACAUAAAUGUAUAAGUUUUAAAACAAAAGCAAAUCAUUGAGACAUAAAUGGAGAUAGUAUAUAUGAAGAACAAAAAGAAAAGAGAAGGAAAAACUGUUAGUGUAGGCCUUCUUCGCAUUUGACAAUAAUUUGAUCGACAUUAGGUGAAAUGACGUUCUUGCCCACCAAGUCAUGAGCCUUCAAGGACUCUUUGUUCCAAUCUGUGUUAUAAACAACGGUCAAAAUGGAGAUUGCACAAGCUAGCUGUGCCCCAAGCAAGCCAUAGCAUAGGCCCAUGAAGCCUAAACCCCACACAAACGCUAAAACAACCGCCACUGGUGCUCCAACUACAUAGAAGGCGUAGAAAUUAAUCUUGGCCCCUAUACCUGGCCUCGCACUGCCACGUAAGAUUCCACAGCUAAUGGUCUGAGGACAGUUGGCAAGCUCACAAGCUCCAAUCACCGGAAUAACCGCCGCCGUCAGCUCGAGGACAACUUUGUCGGCGGUGAAAACUUUUCCCCAAGCUUCUCUCCCCACGGUGGUCCCCACAAGUCCAAACACUGACACUGCCACGGCGGCUCCGACAGCCACAGUCGCCGCUGUUUUUGCUUUCUCUGGCCGUCCUGCUCCUAACUCGUUGCUUACCCUCGUGGAUACCGCGGCCGAGAGGGCCGUUGGGAUUGUAUACAUCAAUGAGGUUGUUUGUAUCACGAUGGCGGCUGCUGCUAGCGCCACCUUCGGCUCGGGGAGAUAUCCAGCGAGGACCGUCAUGAACUCGUACCACCACCACUCCAAGCAAACCGCUAUACAGCUCGGAACAGCGAAUUUAACCAGCGUUGACCACACAUCAUUUUCACCGGAGUCUCUCGAACCAUACAGCAUCAACGGCGUAUCAAGACAAAGAGACUUGGAAGUGGUUUUGUCGUUGUUGUUGUUUUCCAAGUAGAUGUAGCAAAGGAGAAGCGACAAAGAGAUGAAGUUGGUAAGAAAAGAAGAGACGGCGACUCCGGGAACUCCGAGAGAGAUGUAAAACGUGAAGAAAGCAGUAAUGGGAAGAUGAAGAAGGACGGAGACUAACGUGCACCACAUCAAAGGCCAAGUGGUGCCUUUACAACGUAAGUAAAUACGUAAAGGAUGAAGGAAACUAUUAGCGAGAAGAUCAGGCAAAGAGAAGGAACAAUAGAGAGAUGCGACACGAGUGAUAUCAUGUUGUUGGCGGAGCAUCAGCAUUAGAGGCGCGAGGUUUAGCCAAAGGAGUGAUAUGGGAAGAGAAGCUAAGAGAAGGAGGAAGAUGGUUCGCUUGAGGGUUAAGGAAGCGAGUGAAGGGUUUUUAGAACCGAUGGCUUGACCACAUAAUGGUUCCAUACCGGUGGCUAAACCAGAGAGGACGGAGUAACCGGUGAUGUUGGUGAAACCGAUGGCUAAGGCUCCUCCUGCGAGCUCAAGGCUACCGAGUCGUCCCAUACACACGACGGAUGUCAUGUUCUUUAGGUAGUUUAAUAUGCUCAUGGCGGCCACCGGAAAACUUAUGUCCCAAAUUCUCUUCAGCUCCUCCACCACCUUUUUAAAUAUUUUAAAUAAAAAAAUAAUAAUUAUAAGAGAGGAGAUAUUUGAAAGACUCUAUCUGAGGAAGAAGUUUACUAAGAAUAGAAGUUUUAGAUUUAAUUUAGUACCUCGGGCAUUGUCGGGUUGUACUUGUGUUGGAGAUUUAUGAGACGUGAAUCUUCUUCGACCACCAUUGUUAGUGUUUGUUUAUUGAGAUGAGAGAUUUAAAAAAUAUGAAGAGAAGAUGCCAUUUUAUAAAGAAAUUUUAUUUGUUUUGUUUUGUAACAUGGAG